CGGGUUUUAGGUAGGUGGAGGUCAAAGUUCAUUUCCUGUCCUCUAUUCACUAUUAACAGGCAGGGGCUCUGCUGAAGGAAGUCAACACGCCCCUUCACAGACCGACGCAGAGGAGCAACGCAAGGUGUGCUUUAGUUUAUUCAUAGAGCAUGGCAGCAGCUCGCCGCCUUCUGCAGGUUCUGGUCCCCGAGCCCCACUUACCACCUCCCCCUGGUGCCAGACCAUUUUCAGUCCACGGCUGCAGCAGGGGAUUCCAGGGCAGCUUCAGAUUUCACCGCAUCGGCUGCCAUGCUUGUUAAAAGAGCUUCAAAUUUCUGGGACACCAAGUCCACCAGCACAAAGUAAAGAAAAAUAAAGUAUGGAGAAGAAAUGCUGUGACUACUCUAGAACCCACCAACUGAAAGGACAGAGAAGAGGGCUGGGGUCUGAAGUGCGUGCUCAGAUCUCCAUUUCCCCUAGACUGCUAAUGAACGCAACUUCCAAAGAAAGAACUGGAUGAAGGAGGGACGCUGGGUGUAGAGCAGGAACAAGAGAUACUGAUGGCAAAUGAGCUUUAUGAAGCUUUAAGCGAGACUUCAACCUAGCGCUCACAGCACUUCCUCUAAAAACGCAGACUCUCAUUUCCCCCAUCUCCCUCCUUCCUAACAUGUUUGGCAGCCCCCACUUCUUUUCUAUCAGACCUAAAUUACACACCUCUCCUACUUUUUCCUCCCAACGGAAAAUAAAAAAACAAACAAGCCAAUCCA